rnacentral:rRNA from 1 species
UGAGGAAUAUUGGUCAAUGGGCGCGAGCCUGAACCAGCCAAGUCGCGUGAGGGAAGACGGUCCUAUGGAUUGUAAACCUCUUUUGUCGGGGAGCAAAGAAGUCACGUGUGACUAAAAGUGAGAGUACCCGAAGAAAAAGCAUCGGCUAACUCCGUGCCAGCAGCCGCGUAAUAGACGACU